rnacentral:lncRNA from 1 species
UAUAGAAUUAGGCUACUAUACUAUCUAUAGUACCGGAACUUCGGUACUAUAGUCUUAUUUUCGAUUUUAAGGUGUUUAAAUUAACGAUCCACACCGUUAAAUAUGAUCUAGGGUAUAUGAUGUUCUUAGGAAUAAAAUUUCAGUUUUAUUCGACAUCGUUUACUUAGUAAAUAAACUAUGUCAAAAUAGACGGUGGAAAUUGAAUAAUCUUUAAAAUUUGAGUAUAGGACUUUUAAAUUCAAGAUCAAGAAUGUUAACCUUAAUCUAGAUAGUUUAAAGUAUUUUCUAUCAAAAUUUGAAGAAAUUUAGAUUUUUCUACACCGUUAAACUCCAAACUCACCAUAGUAACCAUUGAAAAUUGACAAUUUUGAAAUGGUUUAAUUAUAAAGUAAACUAUGUUGAAAAAAUAUAAAAUUUUAUUUGUAAAAACUUUAAAUACCGUAGAUCAGUUUUAAUGGUGUGGAUCGUUGAUUUGAACACCCUAAGAUCAAAAACAAGACUAUAGUACCGGAGCCCCGUGUCAUGGGUCAAUCGUUGGGACUCGUUAGGACUUGGGGAAGGCUUGCCCAUCUUCGAGCAGGAAGGGGGCGCCGCACGAGCUUUACGAAGAAAAAAGUUAUGUCCGUGACACCCGGUACUAUAAAUAGUAUAUUAGACUAGCUCUAUACAUAUAGAGUGCGGCUAGAAUACUUAUGAGAGCACGGAGGGCUCCGUGCUUCCACUUUAUUUUCGAUGUUCGGACUUUCGAAUUGACGAUCGGCUCCGUUAGACUUGAUCUAGAGUAUUUGAAGUAUCUAAAAAAUAAAUUUUGCGAUUGACGAUCGGCUCCGUUAGACUUGAUCUAGAGUAUUUGAAGUAUUUAGAAAGUAAAUUUUGCGAUUUUUCAGUAUCAUUUGCCUAGUGAUCACAGUGGCUCAAAAUCAACGGCUGAAAAUAAAAAUCUUACAAAAUAUGAUGAUAUGACAUUAAAAUUUUAGAUCAAAGUUAUUUAUCUUGUUUUAUAUGGUAUAAAGAAUUUUCUACAAAAAUUUCAUGUGAUUUGGAUAUUUCUACAUCGUUAAACUUACAACCGGCUCACCACGGCCGUUACAAUUAUUGAUUUUGAGCCCCUUCGAUCACUAGGCAAAUGAUAUCGAAAAAUCGUAAAAUUUAUUUUCUAGGUACUUCAAAUACUCUAGAUCAACUCUAAUGAAGCCGAUCGUCGAUUCGAAAGUCUGAACAUCAAAAACGAUUUGGAAGCACGGAGGCCUCCGUGCUUCCAUAAGCAUACCAGCACAACUCUAUAUAUAUAUAUAUAUAUAUAUAUAUAUAAAAGCAGGUAUUUUAAAUUUCGGUCUGUCCACAGACCCAUUUUUUGGCGGGAAAAAAAUUGAUUCCUCUUUCGUUACGUAAAAUAAAUAACGUAUGAAAUAAACUUUUAAUUUCUCUUUAUCUCUACAAUAGAAAAAAAUAUAUUUAUCCAAUUUUUUACCAACCGAAAGAUAUCUACUGUGAAUUUAAAUUUAAAUUCGAAAUUGUUUAAUUUUUUUUCUCUAA